rnacentral:tRNA from 1 species
GGGCCUGUAGCUCAGUUGGCUAGAGCGCACCGCUGAUAACGGUGAGGUCGGCAGUUCGAGUCUGCCCAGGCCCA